rnacentral:rRNA from 1 species
GUGCAGCCGCCGCGGCAAUACCGGCAGCGCAAGUGAUGGCCGAUCUUAUUGGGCCUAAAGCGUCCGUAGCUGGCCGGGCAAGUCCAUCGGGAAAUCCACCCGCCCAACGGGUGGCCGUCCGGUGGAAACUGUACGGCUUGGGACCGGAAGGCGCGACGGGUACGUCCAGGGUAGGAGUGAAAUCCCGUAAUCCCGGACGGACCACCGAUGGCGAGAGCACUCUGAGAAGACGGCUUCGACAGUGAGGGACGAAAGCCAGGGUCUCCAACCGGAUUAGAUACCCCUGUAGUCC